UGCACUGUAUGGUAUCUACACCCAGCAGUCUUUUUCCUGGUGGGGUGUUCAAAAGCCAGUGCUAAAGGAAUGCAAUAUCUGGCAUCGUUGGUUUCCUUGCCGUUCGUGCUUGUUAAACCUGGUAUUUGUAUUGCUACAGGC